rnacentral:lncRNA from 1 species
CCCCGCCUGCUCAGUCCCAGGAGACGAACCCCCCGCAGCAGCCGCUCACGCUCUGCUCUGUGCCCUUGCAGGUGUGCAGUACGGCCAGGUGGGGGCGGACGUCGUCCUGUCGUGUGCCAGCGCCCCCGGACGCUCGGGGGUGGAGUGGCGGCGGGACGGGGCGGCCGCGCUCCCAGAGGGCUGCGUCCUGCGGGAUGGCGACCUGCUGCUGCCACAGGCCGAGCUCGCUGCGGGAGGAGCCUACAGCUGCCACGACGGGACCGGGCAGCUCCUCCGCUCCGUCUCCCUCCGGCUGGGCUACCUGCCCGGGAUCCCCUCCGUCACCUGCCGAGCUUCUGACUACGAGAAUUUCUCCUGUUCCUGGACACCCAGUGUGGAGACGUUCCUCCCCACCAGAUACAUCACCACCUACCGGUAGGGCUGAGCCAUGUGUGCGGGGUAGGUGGGGGUGGUGGGGAAUGCCACUCGCUUUGGGGCGUUAGCCACAGCGGCCUCGCCCGGCCUCAGCUCAGGGAACACCUUUGGUUCUCCCUGCAGACGGGAUUCCUUGUCACGUCCUGGCCUCGAGCGCUGUGUAGCGUUCCCACGCACUGCGUUCCACCCCAGACUUGGCUGCAUUUCAGGGGAGAUGCAGAGUCCAACCUUGUUUAUGCAAAUGAGAUGGGGGGGGGCAUAAAAGUAUUGUUGAUGAAUGGCUCCGGGUUUGGUUCCCAAGACGCCUGGAGGCGUUUCGUCCCCGGGAGUGUUAUGCUUAUAAGAAACACAUGGGAUCUUUUUCAGGGGAAAAGGCAACACGCUGCAUUUAUUGAAAAUACAACAGUUAGCAUAUGCUUUUAAUCACACACACACACGGUCUUAUACUUCCCAGGGUGUCGUAGCUCCAGUCACUCUAAUGGCCAGUUAGAUUGGGCACGAGUGAGGAGCUGGGCUUUGUCGGUGUGAUCCGAGGCUUUGCAGGACUGAACCCAGAGUUCUGUGGCAAAACACGCCAGCUUUAUAUGUGUAAAUGCCCACGUUAGUCUAUGGGUUUUGCAAUGUCAUACCGUGAUCUUUAGUCCUUAGCUGGGGAUAAUCUUGGGGUUUUCCGCUGUUAUCUCUGAUCCGUUGUCUCGCGCGGGGGGGGGGGGUGUCUGCCUCACCUCUGAGGUUGUCAUUUAGCAUCGGAUACAAUGGGUGUUUUCUGACUGUUUCCUGCUGUCUCUCCAAGUCUCUCACUUCUUCCUGACCAUCUGCACAUUUGCAAUGGCUUUAACCAUACACACGUCCUUUACUCACCCCGAACAGUUGUCCAGAGAAUUUCAGACAGGAUCCCAUUCUAGAGAGGGUUGUA